AUGCAAAUAAUUAAUAAAAAAAAAUAAUGUUUAUUGGACGUUACUUGAAACUUCGUCAUUAUCAACUGAAAUAAUAAGCAAUGUACCUGUCUUUCAUUUUCGGAUUUAGAAUCAUGCUUUUUUUGCAUUUCAUCAUUUUGUACAGUUUUUGACUUUUCCGUGGCUAUGACGGAUUUUCGUUUUUCUUUGUCUGAGGAGCUAUGUACACUUUCGUGUAAACUGGGAAAUGUUUUUUUCUUUGUGCCAGUAUCUGAAGACGCACCUUCAAAUUGCUGGACUUCGGGUCGAGUGGUACAUAAGUCGGAAGAUCAGUCUGUUUGGAUGCACAAGCUGCAAGUCUAAAUGGAUAUAAAGGUUGAAGUAUAGUUACUAUUGCUUCAUCACAUUCAAUACUCAUGAAAGGAUCGUCUGUAAGAGCAGGUGUUAAAGGCGUCGUCUAACAAAAUAAUAUGAAAGGAAUAAAUAAUAGUAACAUAAAAAUUAUUUAUUAUAUGUUUAUGUAUAUUAGACCACUUACUACUUACUCGACUUUCAACUAUUUUUCGUUGUCGUGGAAGUCCAGUAAUAGAAUGAUCCGCCAAUUGCAAUUGAAGUGAGGCUUUAAUUAUUAUUAAUUUUGUCUCAACCAUAGAUACAUUUUCUCUUAAUGCUUCAUAUUCUUCCAAUGUAACUGGGGGGAGUUCAUCUACGAGUGGAUCUGCAAUUUAUACAUGAUAAUUUUCUAAACAAGUUUUUUUUUCAUGUAAUUGUAAUUGAAUAUAUACCUAGUUUUGUAACGAGAUAAGGAUUGUAAUCAUAAUUUGCAGCAGCUUGUUUUAUUGUUUCAAUACGAUGAAAAACACCCGAACAUAAUCUAAUAGUUAAAUCGCCUAUAAUAUACCUCAUUACUCUACGUUCGUGGAAAU
rnacentral:misc_RNA from 1 species